GACAGAGGGUGCAAACGUUGUUCGGAAUUACCGGGCGUAAAGCGCGUGUAGGCGGCCCUGCAAGUCGGGUGUGAAAUCCCACGGCUCAACCGUGGAAGUGCAUUCGAAACUGCAGGGCUAGAGUCCUGGAGAGGAAGGUGGAAUGCUUGGUGUAGAGGUGAAAUUCGUAGAUAUCAAGCGGAACACCGGUGGCGAAGGCGGCCUUCUGGACAGUGACUGACGCUGAGACGCGAAAGCGUGGGGAGCAAACAGG
rnacentral:rRNA from 1 species